rnacentral:misc_RNA from 1 species
AAAAUAGAUUACGGGCUCUUGAACUUGAACGAAGUGGAGGAGCAACAAACAAGAAGAAAGGUCACAAGCAGUUGGAUAAAAAAGUGGAUGAAGAUCUUAGCAAAGAACUGGAAUUGCAAAUAAAAGGAGCUGAGAAGCCAUCUGUAUGGGAACUGCUAGGCGUUCGUUUUAUUCUUCUACCUUACACUAUCGGCAAGUUAUUAUUGUGGACUAGU